UAGUCUUUGUAGUAAUACAAGGCAUACGGCUCAGUAACGCGUAGUCAACCUACCCUAUGGACGGGGAUAAUCUCGGGAAACUGAGCAUAAUACCCGGCAGACCACUUAUCCUGGAAUGGUUAGCGGUUAAAAUGAUUCGUCGCCAUAGGAUGGGACUGCGGCCUAUCAGCUUGUUGGUGAGGUAAUGGCCCACCAAGGCGAUUACAGGUACGGGCUCUGAGAGGAGAGGCCCGGAGAUGGGUACUGAGACAAGGACCCAGGCCCUAUGGGGCGCAGCAGGCGAGAAAACUUUGCAAUGUGCGAAAGCACGACAAGGUUAAUCCGAGUGAUUUCUGCUAAAGGAAUCUUUUGUUAGUUCUAAAAAUACUAGUGAAUAAGGGGUGGGCAAGUUCUGGUGUCAGCCGCCGCGGUAAAACCAGCACCUCAAGUGGUCAGGAUGAUUAUUGGGCCUAAAGCAUCCGUAGCCGGCUUUGUAAGUUUUCGGUUAAAUCCAUGUGCUCAACGCAUGGGCUGCCGAAAAUACUGCAUGGCUAGGGAGUGGGAGAGGUAGACGGUACUCAGUAGGAAGGGGUAAAAUCCUUUGAUCUAUUGAUGACCACCUGUGGCGAAGGCGGUCUACCAGAACACGUUCGACGGUGAGGGAUGAAAGCUGGGGGAGCACACCGGAUUAGAUACCCGGGUAGUCCCAGCUGUAAACGAUGCAGACUCGAUGAUGCAUUG
rnacentral:rRNA from 1 species